rnacentral:rRNA from 1 species
GAUGAACGCUGGCGGCGUGCCUAAUACAUGCAAGUCGAGCGAACGGACGAGAAUCUUGCUUCUCUGAUGUUAGCGGCGGACGGGUGAGUAGCACGUGGAUAACCUACCUAUAAGACUGGGAUAACUUCGGGAAACCGGAGCUAAUACCGGAUAAUAUUUUGAACCGCAUGGUUCAAAAGUGAAAGACGGUCUUGCUGUCACUUAUAGAUGUAUCCGCGCUGCAUUAGCUAGUUGGUAAGGUAACGGCUUACCAAGGCAACGAUGCAUAGCCGACCUGAGAGGGUGAUCGGCCACACUGGAACUGAGACACGGUACAGACUCCUACGGGAGGCAGCAGUAGGGAAUCUUCCGAACUGGGCGGAAGACUGACGGAGCAACGCCGCGUGAGUGAUGAGGGUCUUCGGAUCGUAAGACUCUGUUCUUAGGGAAGAACAUAUGUGUAAGUAACUGUGCACAUCUUGACGGUACCUAAUCAGAAAGCCACGGCUAACUACGUG